AACGUAGGAGGCAAGCGUUAUCCGGAUUCACUGGGCGUAAAGCGCGUGCAGGCGGUUCGGUAAGUUGGGCGUGAAAUCUCCUGGCUUAACUUGGAGAGGCCGUCCAAUACUACCGGGCUAGAGAACAGUAGAGGAAGAUGGAAUUCCCGGUGUAGUGGUGAAAUGCGUAGAUAUCGGGAGGAACACCAGUGGCGAAGGCGGUCUUCUGGACUGUUUCUGACGCUCAGACGCGAAAGCUAGGGUAGUAAAC
rnacentral:rRNA from 1 species